rnacentral:rRNA from 1 species
CGCGUAGGCGGCUUGGUCAGUCAGAUGUGAAAGCCCCGGGCUUAACCUGGGAACUGCAUUUGACACUGCUAAGCUAGAGUGUGGUAGAGGGAAGUGGAAUUCCGGGUGUAGCGGUGAAAUGCGUAGAGAUCCGGAGGAACAUCAGUGGCGAAGGCGGCUUCCUGGACCAACACUGACGCUGAGGUGCGAAAGCGUGGGUAGCAAACA